rnacentral:tRNA from 1 species
AGAAGAGUAAGCUAAUUUAAAGCUAUUGGGUCCAUGCCCCGACAAUGAAGGAAAAUCCUUCCUCUCCUA